rnacentral:lncRNA from 1 species
UUCGUUACAGUCGUUUCUGAAGAGAACACGGCCCCCUCAUGCCUCGUACACCUUGCACUCGUCGGUCGCGGGGUUGUCCUUGCAGAAGUCCUCCAGGGGGUCGCCGCUGCCCGCCGCCGCCGCGCCCGGCCACUUGGCCGCCACCAGGUGCGCCAGAUCGACAACGCGCUGGCUGCACGCGCGCGUUCAACAACAAUCCCAGCAUCAGCAAAUGCCAAUUCAGUUCCAGAAUACUAGUCGUAAUAACCAUGUGGUUUAACCUGGCUCCCUCACCUGUAUCCCCACUCGUUGUCGUACCAGGCGACCACCUUGACCAUGUCGUCGCCCAUCACCAUGGUGAGCGAGGAGUCGAUGGUGGAGGACACGUCGGAGCACCUGAAGUCGACGGACACGAGCGGCACGUCGCAGACGUCCAGGACGCCCUUGAGCGGGCCGCCGGCGGCCUUGCGGAACGCGCCGUUCACGUCGUCGGCCGUGAUGCCCUUCUUCUCGGUGUUGAUCACCAGGUCCACCACCGACACGUUCGGGGUCGGCACGCGGAGCGCGAUGCCGUUCAGCUUCCCCUUCAGCUGGGGCAGCACCAGCGCCACGGCCUUGGCGGCGCCGGUGCUCGUCGGCACGAUGUUCAGCGCCGCCGCGCGGGCCCGCCUCAGGUCGCGGUGGGACGCGUCCAGCAGCCUCUGGUCGCCGGUGUACGAGUGGGUCGUCGUCAUGGUUCCCUUCACGAUCCCUGCACAUCUCUCUCAUUCAGGCGUGUCUUGUGGGUGAGGGUACUUUAUCAGAUUGCAUUGGGUGGUCGGUCAGGAAACAGACUAAGUUCUCACCGAACUCCUCGUCCAAGACCUUGACGAAUGGGGCGAGGCAGUUGGUCGUGCAGGAAGCGUUGCUGCAAGCAACAGAGUUUUGAUUGCAGAUAUAUAAAUGUUAGCAUGAUACGGACAGAGACCUCUGAAUGACAGGAUGCAGAGCAGUGCUGAAGAGCACUGAAGCUAGCUUAAUUACCUGAUGAUGUCGGCCACACCGUGGUCGUAGUCGCCCUCGUUGACACCGACGACGUAGGUCGGGAUGUCGGCGCCCUUGGCCGGAGCAGUGAUGAUGACCUUCUUCGCGCCGGCCUGGAUGUGCUUCCCGGCGCCCGGGCCGUCGACGAAGACUCCGG